AGGGAAAGAAGCACAUUUCAAACUUUUGGGGAAGAAGUGUGUCCCAUAGAUCAUUCGAUGUGCCCUGCCCCCAGCUCUGUUCACCGAGAGCCCAUCUGCUGUGAGUGCCAGGCCAAAUUUGGGGGUCGCCUGCCAGUGAGCAGGGCUGAGGCAGUGCUGCCUUACUGGGUCCCUCUGUCCUUGACCCCGAAAGCAGAGUGGAUCCAUCACUGUACAUUUCCACCAGCAAAGGAUGAGAGUUCCCACUUUUGUGCAUCUUCACCAGCACUCGGCAUUCCUCUCGUCGGUGUGCUGGAAAGUUGUCCGUUCUCUGGUAGAAGUGUCCAUGCAGAAGGGCAGCAACCUCCCGGGCAGCCAAUUCCCGGCUCCUCAGGAGGGCUGAUGCCAGGAGGCGGCCCCAAAGGUUAAUAAAACUUGGUUUUCGAGCGUUUCACUGCCCCAGGAGGGCAGUGGGCCCCAUGUCCAAUUCAUCAAGUGCCUAAUGAGUGGCCUCGGAGGUCCUGGCCCAUCCAUUCCAGAAGCUCUCUCUGCCUCGUAAAGGCUCUUUUGCCUUCGCCAAGUUGUCGGGAUCCUGCCAGCUCCAGGCUUGGGCUGUGUCUGCCCCAACAUGGAUGGGAAGCUAGAAUCUGAGCACCAAGAACUCGAGGCAGAAGAAUUUCAAUAGUUACACUGCACACUUGCUGGGGGAUCACAGGCUCAAAGCAGAGAGCUAGUGAUUUUGCCAGCUUCCUGGAUGUGCAUUCUGGUUCUGCACAAAGAGCCACAUUUCCUUCUGGAAUCGGGACCAGGACACAGACAGACAGCAGCAGACACUGGAAACUGUCGUGAGGAUUUGAGACUGUGAAUGAGAAGGCUGGGCCCCUAGCGUAUGCGGGAUGGAUGAUUGGGUCAUGGCCAUCUGUGGGCCAGUUCCCGGAGCCCAGGAACAAACGGGCAGAGGGGCCACCUGGCAUCACAUCUCGGCCACCUACGAGCGGGGUGACCCCGGAUGUUAGCAGACGUCACUCAAGCAGAAGCUUGGAGGAGCUCUUACCCGUGUCCAUUAGUCCUCGUGUGCCUCUGCUGUCUGUGUGAGCAGGCUGAGCUGCUUGGCUGAGGAAGGAUGGGAGACGCCCAUUCAUCCCAGCAGAACUACAGAUAUAUUUGUAUAUAAAUUUUCACACCCUGAGCGCACCGUGAUCCAGAAGAAGCUCACUGUCCACGCCUAGGCCCCCACCCCGCCAGACAGAUGCUCCCCGACUCCCAGCGCCAGAGGCCCACGGGGUGAUGAUUUUCCUCAGCCAGCGGGUUCCUGUGUGACUUGAGUGCAGCCUGCCUCCCUGGAUCUUUCAUCUCCAUAGCAGAAGCCACGUCAGGGUGUCAAGAGGGGGUUUCUUCUCGUGAAAUAAUCCGUUGACGUCUCUACAAAGGCCCCCGUGACACCCAAAUUGCCCGAGCCUCAAGGAAGAAAGACACGAUUUGGGGGCCAUUUGGAACCUCUUUAAAAAGGAGGACAGGGCCUCCCGGGGGCUGCCUCCUGACGAAUUACCAUUCCAGGCAGGUGGGAGGGUGUCCAGGCCCGGGACACUGGGCCAGCGCUUCAAUGAUCUGGUUGAAGACUUAAGCCAUGUUUACACUGAAUGGAACCCAUUAGGAAGUUGGAAGCUCGUGGAUGCGCCGUGCGUCCUCCUCGUCCAGUGCACCCCUGCUGGUGUCCCUCCAGAGCGAGGGCGCGGAAGGGCUUUUCCCUACUAAGUGACAGCACCUGCUCUCCGUUUACCUGAUGCACUGCUCACUCUUGCUCAGCCGGGGACCUGGCUGUGGAACUGGGAAGCUGACAGACGUUUGCUGUUCAGAAGGGGAGGUUGAAAAGGGCUUCUCAUGGGUGGGUGCAGAGGGCGCCCCCCCACCCCUCUCCCGCCAAAACUCUCCUCCCACUGAGGAGGGUCCCACCGGAGGGUGGUGCCGGCCUCUCUGUGCCCGGGGCCUGGGCUGGCUGUUUCCGGAAGCCUAUGGAGAAGACACUGUGAUUCCAGGGUUUCUGACGAGGCCAUUAUGUCACUAACUCAACAGCGAAGUGAAGCUGUUCAGGGCAGGGCUGGGGCAGGAGCCUGACUGAUGCCAAACUCACGUUCCCAGGUGGAAACAGUUCUGGCUGCUGACAACCAGGUCUUACUCAAGUGCCCUGGCCUCGUUCACAGCAUCUGUACGUCGGAUUAAUGACAUCUGCCUUACAAGGUUUUAGGUCUAAAUGCGAGUUGACAGCUAAAUGUACUAGUAUGCAGUAGGCACUCAACAGUUGUUCACGGACUGCCAUGUGCCGUGAGCCCUGGAGUCACAGAAACCUAGGUCUGAACCCCCAGGUUGGCCUUCAACAGCUGGUGACCCCUGGCAGGCCACGGGACCGCUCUGAGCCUCAGGUUUUGUGUCUGUAACGGCGCCCAGGUCACGGGGCAGCUUGGAGGCCACGCAAGACUGUGGGCAAAGCACUUAGCGAGGCGUGCAGUGAGCGAUCAGUAAGCACUCGAGACACUUGCCCCGAUGAUGGCGAGGACCGCCGUCACUGCUGCUCUUUCAUAGACCUCACCUGGAAAAUACGUCCUGGGCCCUAAAGAGCCACGUAAGGCCCUGUGCGGGCCUCCCCUGGGCCUGGCUGCCUCCAUCCUGGGAUUUGAAGGUGCUCCUGUGUCCCAGGCCCUAACGGGGCCUGCUUACACCAGGGCCGCAGCCUGCAGCUGGGGAGGGACCAGCCAGCUGAGCAGCUGGGGAGGUGGCCCUGUUUGUUGGCCUUGGAUGGCCUGAUUGUUUUUAUUUGCAAAUGAAAAGUAAGAAACGCUCGCCCAGGCCAGAGCAGCAUGAUUUCAUCCUCAGUGUCUCCUCCGGCCUCCCUGUCGGGAGGCCCGCAGGACACGGAUGCCUGAAGCAGUUCAAAUAACUGAACCUGCCGUGACCUGGGCUGAAACCGAGAGAGGGUCUGCUGGGGUGGCUGCCGAGAGGCAUCGGGCGCCGUCUGCGCCAGGAGCUUCUCCGCGAGCCUCUGCAGCUGGGGAGCGAACAGAGACCUGGGGGGUCAGCGUCACCCCGCCGGUCCCCCCGGCAGGAAUGGUGUGUGGACGGACUCCCACAGAGGGACACCUGUGCAUGGCAGGGAUGAUCUUAGCUCACCUGCGUUGAGUGCCACCGGUAUACCCACCCCUACUCCAUGCCCUUCGUAGAAGGAGGUGUUAUUAGCAGUAUGAUCGGGGGAAGGCAAAACGGUACAGACAUUUGGAGGACAGUCUGGCAGUUCCUUCCAAAGCUAAAUAUACUCUUACCACACGAUCCAGCAAUCGUGCUCCUUGGUAUUUCUCCAAAGGAUUGAAAACACGUUCACACAAAAACCCGCACAUGGAUGUUUAUAGUGGCUUUUUUCAUAAUCACCAAAACUUGGAAGCAGCCGAGAUGCCCUUAGGUAGGUGAGUGGAUAAAUAAACUGUGGCACAUCCAGACAGUGGGAUAUUAUUCAGCACUAGAUAGAAAUGAGCUCUCAAGGCCUGAAAAGCCGCGGAGGAACCUUAAAUGCUAAAGCGUGGAGCGGCACUUAGCAUAUUGCUAAGGGAAAGAGGCCUGUCUGAAAAGGCUACGUGCUGCGCAGUUCCAGCUACCAGCUGCCCUCCUGGGGGUCUGGCCUGCGGAUUCUGGACUUGUCUGGCCAGCCCCACUCUCACUAAACCAACUCUUGAGCUAAAUCUCUUCUUAUCUGUCUCCCUCUGGUUCUGUUUCUCUGGUUUGGCACAGACUGACAUAAUCGCACCACGGCUGUGUCACCUAGGGCGACUUGUCUAACGUCUCUGCCUCAGUUUCCUCAUCUGUAACAUGGGGCUAAUAAGAGUGCCCACCUCCUUAGAUGGGGGCUAAGUUACCCCAUGGCAGGCACUGAGACUGGCUGGCACAGAGCAGGUGUAACUAGUAACUCCUGCUUUGCUGAGGAAGAAACGGAAGCCCAGGAAAGUUCUAUCACUUGCUUGGGGCGUCACAGCGCAGAAGUGGCAGAGCCAGCGUGGAAUGCGACACCUGUGGCCCCAACCAUGCUAACGCCACCUCCACUCACAGGGAGUUCUGAUGGCAUUUGUGUGUGGAAGGGUUUGAAUGGCCUGUAUAUUCUGUGCUUUCUGCAAAAGAACUGAGCUUCACAAGGGUUAGAGCGUUAAGUAGUCAUGACAGCCCUUCGGAGGCAGGGAAGGUGGCCGGUCCAUCACAUGGCCACCACGUGGCCAGGCCAGGAGACGGAGGUUGGAGAAGCCCAGCCACACUGACCACCUCCGUGCCCAAACGUCACCCGGGAUCCGGCGUCCGUGGCCUCCAGUGGGUGCACUGUCUUCCCGGGGGCCGCCGAGAGCUUCCCAUGGGUUUUUAUUAGAAACAAUUGGAGGAUCCAGCUACCCCUCAGUCGUUUCGAGAUGCACAUUUUCCACAUUCCUCCUCGACCUGGCACGGCCGGGACACUGUCAUUUAAAAAA